CUUUCCUGUGUAGCAUAAAGGAAAAGGAUGCUUCUGAAAACAAAUGUACAGAACUUUAGAAAGAGAAAAGGGGGACAGGAAGCUGGGGGUCUGAUGCAGCUGAAGAACAUGAGAAACGGGAGAGCCAUGAAUGCCACAGACACUGAGCGAGCCUGAGACACUACCGUCAGUACAUGGUAGAGAAACGCGGAAGCUCCCUAGAAGAAACUAAAAACUGCUAUGGCUCAGCACUUUCUGAAAGGUCAUAAAAGAAGAAGCCAAACACAGGAAAAGAAUAGUUAAAUGACGUGACCUGAAAUUAAGAAAGCCAUGCUAAACAAGGACUUAUUUUCCUGCACUGUGAUAUUCUUUUAAGAAAACCAACUGUGCAAAAUAAAUGAUUGCACAUAAUCAACAA